UGAACAGGUCAAGUGAUCUCCUCAGCUGAGU
rnacentral:piRNA from 1 species